GGGCAACCUGCCUGUAAGACUGGGAUAACACCGGGAAACCGGUGCUAAUACCGCAUAAUUCUUUUCCUCUCAUGAGGAAAAGCUGAAAGUCGGUUUCGGCUGACACUUACAGAUGGGCCCGCGGCGCAUUAGCUAGUUGGUGAGGUAACGGCUCACCAAGGCGACGAUGCGUAGCCGACCUGAGAGGGUGAUCGGCCACACUGGGACUGAGACACGGCCCAGACUCCUACGGGAGGCAGCAGUAGGGAAUCUUCCGCAAUGGACGAAAGUCUGACGGAGCAACGCCGCGUGAGUGAUGAAGGCCUUCGGGUCGUAAAACUCUGUUGUUAGGGAAGAACAAGUACCGGAGUAACUGCCGGUACCUUGACGGUACCUAACCAGAAAGCCACGGCUAACUACGUGCCAGCAGCCGCGGUAAUACGUAGGUGGCAAGCGUUGUCCGGAAUCAUUGGGCGUAAAGCGCGCGCAGGCGGUCCUUUAAGUCUGAUGUGAAAGCCCACGGCUCAACCGUGGAGGGUCAUUGGAAACUGGGGGACUUGAGUGCAGAAGAGGAAAGCGGAAUUCCACGUGUAGCGGUGAAAUGCGUAGAGAUGUGGAGGAACACCAGUGGCGAAGGCGGCUUUCUGGUCUGUAACUGACGCUGAGGCGCGAAAGCGUGGGGAGCGAACAGGAUUAGAUACCCUGGUAGUCCACGCCGUAAAC
rnacentral:rRNA from 1 species